AGGUAAUGGAAAAGGAGGUGAAUCUAUUUAUGGUGGCUAUUUUAAAGAUGAAAACUUUAUUCUCAAACAUGACAGAGCGUUCCUUUUGUCAAUGGCAAACCGAGGGAAACAUACCAAUGGUUCCCAAUUUUUCAU